rnacentral:tRNA from 1 species
GUUGUCGUGGCCGAGUGGUUAAGGCGAUGGACUCGAGAUCGUUUAGGGAUCUUCCCGCGCAGGUUCGAAUUCUGCCGACAUCG